rnacentral:misc_RNA from 1 species
CGAUCGGUAGACGCUACGGACUUAAAUAAUUUGAGCSUUAGUAGAAAAACUUACUAAAUGCUAGCUUUCAGAUUCAGGGAAACUUAGGUUGAAAAAAAUAUAAGCGAUCCUGAGCCAAAUUUUAUAUUUAAAAGUAAGUAGGUGCAGAGACUCGAUGGAAGCUAUCCUAACGUAAAUUUUUUUAAGAUUUAUUUAAGUGAAUUUUAUGAAUUAAUAUAAAUAAAAAAAAAUUAACUAAAAUUUUCUUUUUUUAUUAGCAAACGAGGAUAAAGAUAGAGUCCAAUUUUACAUGUUAAUUUUAGCAACAAUUUAAAUUGUAGUAAAAAGAAAAUCCGUUGGCUUUAUUGACCGUGAGGGUUCAAGUCCCUCUACCCCCAAAAUUAUGAAUUUUUUUUAUUGACAUAAGUUUCUAGUUCAUGUUAGGAUAGCCCAAACGAACAGAAAGCCGGGAUAGCUCAGUUGGUAGAGCAGAGGACUGAAAAUCCUCGUGUCAC